CUUUCUCUCUCUGUCUCUACUUUUAUCUUAUUAGUACUAACCCCUGUUUGGUUGCUAAGAAACUCAGAGAAGAAAAAAAAAAUGAAAAAUAGAAGUAAAGUUCUGUUGUUUCAAUUUCGGAAACAAUAUUAUAGAACUCAACAUGGUAAACUAGAAAGUUUCUCUCUCUUGAUCCAAAGAGGAUAGCAACAAGUUUUUCUUUUUCUUUUUUAAUUUUCCGUGCCUUCAUUUUCUCACCAAUUAAACUUGGAUUAAUGGAUUCCAUUCCAUCUAAUUUCUCAAACCCAUUAAUAGAACUCAUCAAAUUCCUCAAAAUUCAAUACCAGUGAUUGUCACAUAUAUCCAAUCAACCAAAAAAUGAGUAUGGAAAGGUAAAAAUGACUAUUCUUGCCAUUUGUACAAAGGUAUAAAGAAAAUGACUUCUGAAUUGAUGGGUGAAUAGGAUUUGGAAAACAGUAACACAGACUUACUGUUCCAGAUUUGGGUCAAGAAUGAAAUAUGUGAUGAUGAUUGAAAAUGUGUAUUGUGGGGUCUAUAUCUAGAAUGAAUCUAAACUAAACAUUGGUGUUAUUGGAUAAAUUUUUCUGAGUUUGUACUAUUACUCUUUGGAAAAUGCUAUCAAUGAGUUUAAGUGCAAAGAUGAUUCAAUACAGAAUGAAGAUACAAUGUCUAAUAAUAAAGAGUAGGUCCUACGUACGAGUCUCACAUCAUGUGGGUUGUAUCACUUGUAAAACAUUUAUGUGUUAUUUUAUAUUUUAUGUGUUCCUAACAUUGCUGAAUUAUUUUUUCUUUAUAAUUUAUAUAAUGUGUGGAUCGUAUCACUUGUAAGACAUUUAUGUCUCAUUUUAUAUUUUAUAUAUAUUCUCAACAUUGUUGAAAUAUUAUUUCUUUAUGAUUUAUAUAAUGUGCCAGUGACAUUUUUUAUAUCAAGAAAUAUUUUGAUAAAUUUUUCAUUUAAAGUGAUAGCUCGCAGCUCUCACUUCAUUUUAUUUAUAUUUUUUAGUCGAGAGUUGGGCUUCAAGUCGGAGUGAUGGAAGCAUUUCUGUAAAUUAAUUAUUCAACCCAAUACUUAAUAGAUUAAUGGGUCAGUAAAAUUUAAAAUUUUGAUUUACAAAAAAAUGCGUCGGUGGCACAAUCUACAAGUGUGGUUUCGUCUGAGGAUGUAUUAUUUUAAUAAUUUUUAACGUUGUAUAAAAAAAUAUGUAAAAAAAAUUUUAAAAAA